CGGCCUCCUAAGCACAUUAUUUAAGGAUAAAAAGGCAGACAUGAAAAGACUGACCUGAAACAUAAACGCUGGGAAGAUAAACACAAGGGCAUGGGAGCCUUGUGGACGCACAAUCGGGUGGGAAGGGGCGGGGACUGUUUUUAUAACAGAAGCAUAAACCACUUGCGUCCUCAAGUCACACACAUGGGUCUUUGGUUGACAGAGAGAAUGGGGUGGGAGGAGACCGCACACGAGUCCCACCCGAGAGGGGCUGGGCCUUGUAGGGGACACAGGGAAGGAUCCCUGGGCUCCACUUGGGGUGUGGGCAGGGUGAGGGAGCCCCUUCCUCCAUGGGGAAGGGAGGAAAUUCCACCGCAGGGACGCAGGAGCCAGAGCCAGAGAGCAGCAACCCCACCCCUGAAGGAAGAUGAGUGAGGAGGUGCGCGAGGGGAAGAGGAGACUGAACAGAGAAAGAAAUUUGAGAGGAGAGCUCUGGAGAGACAGGCAGGUGCCGAUGGAGGAGCUGGCCCGUUGGGCGGUGGGUGGGUGGGUGGGUGUAACACGGUUCUCCCCACAUCUGUCCAGAAAACCUUCCAAAAAGUCCUAUCUCUUUGCAGAGUAGAUAAUAAGAGCAGCUCCCAGGCACCCCUAUGUAUUUACCAAGCUUUACAGAGCACCAGCCAUGACUGGUCCAGUCCAUCCUCACAGCUGCUCCGUGGCACAGGUACAUUAUUCCUUGCUUUCAUAAAUGGGGAAACUGAGGCACAGGAAGGUGCCCAAGGUCAAGCACUGGAAGGCGGCUUGACUAGGGGCUCACUCCCACCUCCCCACCUGCCCUGUGUCUCUGGGGUGUAGGGAGUGAGUCCUGCAGCCAGGUGUGGGGGCAGGGGGUGGGGUCCACCCCAGUGAGGCUGGCCGGGCCCCGGUCACAGGGUUGAUGGGGUUUAUCAGCUCAUAGACAGUACCCAACUGCAUCGUGGGCUGAAUCAGGCCCUGGGCUCUGAGUCAAAGCAAACCCUUCCAGUGAUUGCCAAUGAGAUGGCAACGGAGCCCAUAUGAUCCUGAGGGCCUGGCAUGCCCUCUAUCGCCCAGGGAAGCCAGCCACAGCCUGCAGGGCCACCUCCGGACGAGACACCGCUGGAGAUGUGUGGCAUUCUCAGGGCCUCUUUGUAGAGAAAAACAGGAAACUAUGAUUAUAAAAUUAGGCAUAAAAGUGAAUAUUAAGAGUAAAUAGGGCCGGGCAUGGUGGCUCACACCUGUAAUCCCAGCACUUUGGGAGGCCAAGGCGGGCAGAUCACCUGAGGUCGGGAGUAUGAGACCAGCCUGGACAACAUGGUAAAACCCUCUCUCUACUAAAAAUACAAAAAUUAGCUGGGCAUGGUGGUGCGUGCCUGUAAUCCCAGCUACUCAGGAGGCAGGAGAAUCGCUUGAACCCAGGGGGCAGAGGUUGCAGUGAGCCAAGAUCGUACCACUGCACUCUAGCCUGGGCGACAGAGUGAGACUCCAUCUCAAAAAAAAAAGUAAAUAGGUCACACACAGUGGCUCACAACUGUAAUCCCAGCACUUCGGGAAUCUGAGGUGGGAGGAUCACUUGAGCCCAGGAGUCCAAGACCAGCCUGGGCAACAGAGCGAGACCCCAUCUCUAUUUUUAAAAAGUAAAUAAAUCGGGCGGGCGCGGUGGCUCA
rnacentral:lncRNA from 1 species